UACGAAGGGGGCGAGCGUUGUUCGGAAUCACUGGGCGUAAAGGGCGCGUAGGCGGCCCUCUUAGUCGCGUGUGAAAGCCCUGGGCUCAACCUGGGAACGGCGCGCGAAACGGGAGGGCUAGAGUCCGGAAGAGGAGAGUGGAAUUCCUGGUGUAGCGGUGAAAUGCGCAGAUAUCAGGAGGAACACCGGCGGCGAAGGCGGCACUCUGGGCCGGUACUGACGCUGAGGAGCGAAAGCGUGGGUAGCAAACAGG
rnacentral:rRNA from 1 species